UACAGAGGUCUCGAGCGUUAGGCGGAAUCACUGGGCUUAAAGCGUGUGUAGGCGGAUCGUUAAGUACCUUGUGAAAUCCCACGGCUUAACCGUGGAACUGCUUGGUAUACUGGCGGUCUUGAGCCAGCUAGGGGCUACCGGAACAAAUGGUGGAGCGGUGAAAUGCGUAGAUAUCAUUUGGAACGCCAAUGGUGAAAACAGGUAGCUGGGGCUGUGCUGACGAUGAGACACGAAAGCCAGGGGAGCAAACGGG
rnacentral:rRNA from 1 species